rnacentral:rRNA from 1 species
AUCUACGGCCAUGCCACCCUGAACAAGCCCGAUCCCGCCUGAUUUCGGAAGCUAAGCAGGGUCAGGCCUGGUUAGUACUUGAAUGGGAGACCAUCUAGGAAGACCAGGUACUGUAGGCG